GGAAACGGUUGCGAGGUCAUCAGUCAAAGUCUGACGAUGUUUCUAUAAUGUUCUCUAUUCUUUGUGCUUUAAAGGUGAGGGGGAAAACACAAAAGGAAAGGACAAAAAAAAAAAAGUCAAAGUGUUUAAUUUCACCAGGAUUGUUUCAUUUUCAACAAACAAAAAUUUUACACCAUCAGAAAAGCAUUCAAAGAUGCUCUAUGCACAUUUAAAAAAAAAUUAAAAUAAGAAUAACCUCA